rnacentral:rRNA from 1 species
GAUGAACGCUGGCGGCGUGCCUAAUACAUGCAAGUCGAGCGAACAGAUGAGGAGCUUGCUCCUCUGACGUUAGCGGCGGACGGGUGAGUAACACGUGGAUAACCUACCUAUAAGACUGGGAUAACUUCGGGAAACCGGAGCUAAUACCGGAUAAUAUAUUGAACCGCAUGGUUCAAUAGUGAAAGACGGUUUUGCUGUCACUUAUAGAUGGAUCCGCGCCGCAUUAGCUAGUUGGUAAGGUAACGGCUUACCAAGGCAACGAUGCGUAGCCGACCUGAGAGGAGGAUCGGAGACAGUGGAACGGAGACACGGGCCAGAGUCCGAAGGGAGGCAGCAGUGGGGAAGAUUGGACAAUGGGCGCAAGACUGAUACAGCCAUACCGCGUGGGUGAAGAAGGCAUUGGAGUUGUAAAGCCCUUUUGUUGGGAAAGAAAAGAAGAAGGGUAAGACCACGCUGUGCUGACGGUACCAAAAGAAUAAGCACCGGCUAAAUUCGUG